rnacentral:tRNA from 1 species
GCCAGCAUGGUAUAGUGGUUUGAACAUUGGUCUAUGACUCUGCAGACCAGGGUUCAAAUCCCAAUUCAGUUA